CCCAUGCAGAGAACCACAUGCGAUGA
rnacentral:piRNA from 1 species